AAUGCGCAGAUAUCAGGAGGAACACCAGUGGCGAAGGCGGUUCUCUGGGCCUUUCCUGACGCUGAGGAGCGAAAGCGUGGGGAGCGAACAGGCUUAGAUACCCUGGUAGUCCACGCUGUAAACGGUGGGUACUAGGUGUGGGGUCCAUUCCACGGGUUCCGUGCCGUAGCUAACGCUUUAAGUACCCCGCCUGGGGAGUACGGCCGCAAGGCUAAAACUCAAAGGAAUUGACGGGGCCCCGCACAAGCGGCGGAGCAUGCGGAUUAAUUCGAUGCAACGCGUAGAACCUUACCUGGGUUUGACAUGGAUCGGGAGUGCUCAGAGAUGGGUGUGCCUCUUUUGGGGUCGGUUCACAGGUGGUGCAUGGCUGUCGUCAGCUCGUGUCGUGAGAUGUUGGGUUAAGUCCCGCAACGAGCGCAACCCUUGUUCACUGUUGCCAGCACGUUAUGGUGGGGACUCAGUGGAGACCGCCGGGGUCAACUCGGAGGAAGGUGGGGAUGACGUCAAGUCAUCAUGCCCCUUAUGUCCAGGGCUUCACGCAUGCUACAAUGGCUGGUACAGAGAGUGGCGAGCCUGUGAGGGUGAGCGGAUCUCGGAAAGCCGGUCUCAGUUCGGAUUGGGGUCUGCAACUCGACCUCAUGAAGUCGGAGUCGCUAGUAAUCGCAGAUCAGCAACGCUGCGGUGAAUACGUUCCCGGGGCUUGUACACACCGCCCGUCAAGUCAUGAAAGUUGGUAACACCCGAAGCCGGUGGCCUAACCGUUGUGGGGGAGCCGUCGAAGGUGGGACUGGUGAUUAGGACUAAGU
rnacentral:rRNA from 1 species